UCGGGAUAGCUCAGUUGGUAGAGCAGAGGACUGAAAAUCCUUCUGUCACCCAGUUCAAUUAA
rnacentral:tRNA from 1 species